rnacentral:rRNA from 1 species
GACGUAGGGGGCCAGCGUUGUUCGGAAUUACUGGGCGUAAAGCGUGCGCAGGCGGUUCGUUAAGUCAGAUGUGAAAGCCCCGGGCUCAACCUGGGAACUGCAUUUGAAACUGGCGGGCUUGAGUGUGGCAGAGGGGGGUGGAAUUCCGCGUGUAGCAGUGAAAUGCGUAGAGAUGCGGAGGAACACCGAUUGCGAAGGCAGCUCACUAAGUCAUAACUGACGCUGAUGCACGAAAGCGUGGGGAGCAAACAGG